UGUAAAUAUCAACUUCAAAACCUCUAGAAGGAUGAGAAAUAAUGGUUGCAAAACCUUAGCAAUUCUGUUGGAACAAAUAUCAGGUCAUGAAAAUGAACAUUUUUUAAUUAAAAUGCUUCAUGUUAUAACAGUAAUAUUGUGUCUGUGUAGCAUUAUAAAGUGUGCAUUAUUUUUAUAACUGUACGUUCUACAUUCAAAAUUGAAUAAUUUACAACGCACUUCUUCAGAUGUUUUCACCUCUUUAGGUUUUAGUGGGAGAAGCAGACCCUACGUGUUACCUUCAGUAUUAUUUCUGACACAAGUGGGUAUCAAGACCACGGCUAUUCGCAAGCAUGCUGGAUGGCCUUCUCACAUGCAAAAUUGUGCAUCCCCUUUUAUCUACUUUAAUAUCAACAAUAAGUAUUUUCUAUGACAUAAUUAUGGUAUGCGUUUUUAUAUAGUAUAUAUGUUUUAAGACUAGUUCUAUAUAUGUACGCGAUGAUCGUAUGAUUCUUCGAGUUUUUAACAGUUAUUAGAUGGUUUAGUCUAAAUAUUUCGUUCGUAAUUUUAAUAUUGUGUUAGCUUUUUUAUUAGAGUUUACAAAUUUAAUGUAUAUGGUAAGAUACUGAUAAAUAUGCGAGUUUUGUUUCUGAUUCAAUGAAAUUGUUAAGGCACAUUUAAUUCAACACUCUUGUCUUUCAUUGGAAUACCAUUUUAUAUUAUAUUAUUUUGUUUACGAUUCAGUGCAGUUAAGUUUAGGGCAUUGGAGUACCUUUGUAGCUUAUUUUGUUUACAUUUUAUUGCAAUUAAGUUUAAGGCACAUUAAAUUCCACACUCUUGUCUUUCAGUGGGAUAUCUUUCAAAAUUAUUUUGUUUACCCUUCAGUUUAACGCACUCUUGCCUUUGUUUUGUCUUGUUUCAUGUUUUGCCGUUCUAAUAAUUGGUAAUAAAUUGUGAUUGAUUACCAUGUUUAUUUUCUCAUAACAAGAAUUUAGCAUGCAUGGUGAUAUAUAAAUAAGUCUAUAUUAAGAUAAGUAACUUUUUUCAUUAAUUUAAAUACUACCUGAAACUCUGACCGUUAUUGCAAGUCUGUAUUAAGAUAAAUAAACGUUUUCAUUAAUCUGUCCGUUAUGGUUGAUGCUCCUUUGAAUUUUAACUCGGUCCAUUCACAAUCUAUCAGAGGUUUCUAAUGUCACUUUGUUCAACCAUUUACGGAAAUAAGAUUUCAUUUCAGUUGCAGGUCAAACUUGACAAAUAUUUUGUGACCUGUUCAUACCACUCUCUAGGGCGGGAUGUUCUAAGGUACUAGGUGACAUUCUGUUUUCAAGAUUAUCUGGAACGCUUGCAGCAAUUUCUCAUUCACGAUAAAAUGUUUAAACCUUGAAAACUUGACAUACAAUUUCUGGUACUGUAUUGUUCUGUUCAUAACUCUUAUGUUAAAAGUAUAAAUUUAAACCCAGAUCAAGAUAUCAAAAUACAUAAAUGUAUCCUUUUAUUCAUGUCUAUAUAUUUUGAUGAAGAAAGCCGCCAUUAUUGAAAUAUAUAUUCAAGAUGAUUGUAGGUUGUAGGCGUGACUAUCAUCACCCUGAUCGAAGGUCAAAGUCAUACAAAUGGGUUGAAAUCUGUGGUGUCUGAUGCACAUAUAGAUUAUGUGUUAUAGAACUAUGGUUCGAAGCCAGUACGUCGUUCCCACAGUCCUGUAGGAAAAUUGUUAUUGAUAAUGUUUUGUAAAAUGAUUUAUUUGUUGACUG
rnacentral:lncRNA from 1 species